UGCUGACGUCACUUCCUGCCGUUCCCAAAAUGGCGGCGCGCAGAGUUCUCCGGCUCGCGGAGCGCCAGGCGAGAUCGCUCCGCCCCUUGCCCCGCCCACCGCAGCGGAUCGGCCAAUGGCGAGAGGCCCAGGGCCUCUCCCCGAGUCCCUCCGGGCCUGGACCCCUCAGGGACCUCCCGGAUUGGAGCUUUUCGGACGGGCGCCCCUCCCCCCCCUGGCGGGGACAGGAACGGAGAAUCAGCGAGAGCCGAGAGCUGAUGUGCCGGGCCGUGGCCCUGAGCCGCUCCCUGGAGGCCGCCAAACGUCGGAGGAGCUCCCAGUAUAAACCAGUAUGGACCGGUGAAAAGGCUCCGCCCCCACCUGAGGCUCUGCCCACUUCUGGCCACGCCCACUCACCUUAUAAGAAGAAUGCAUGA
rnacentral:lncRNA from 1 species